rnacentral:lncRNA from 1 species
AAACUAGAGGCUCUAAAGAGCCUGUGUCGCUCACCUUGGUCUAUGUGAAUAUUAAAGGAAUCAGAUGGAUUCAUGACAAAAUUGAGUUUUGGUGAUGGUGAUGUGUUUGUACAUCUUACUUUACUGAACAUUCUUGCUGCUUACUAUUAUCUCUAUCUAUAAUGAACUUGGCCCAGUAGUUUCAGUUGAAAAUGUUAGUAAAAAUUUACAAAUUUUAUGAAAAUUGUUAAAAAUUGACUAUAAAGGACAAUACCUCCUUAGGGGGUCAAUUGACCAUUUUGGUCAUGUUGACUUAUCUUUAGGUCUUACUUUGCUGUACAUUAUUGCUGUUUACAGUUUAUCUUUAUCUAUAAUAAUAUUCAAUAUAAUAACAAAAAACGGCAAAAUUUCCUUAAAAUUACCAAUUCAGGGACAGCAACCCAACAAACAGUUGUCCAAUCCAUCUGAAAAUUUCAGGGCAGAUAGAUCUUGACCUGAUAAACAAUUUAAUCUGAUCAGAUUUGCUCUAAAUGCUUUGGUUUUUGAGUUAUAAGCCAAAAACUGCAUUUUACCACCAUGUUCUAUUUUUAGCCAAGGCGGCCAUCUUGGUUUGUUGGCCGAGUGACCGAACACAUUUUUUUAACUAGAUACCCCAAUGAUGAUUGUGGCCAAGUAUGGUUAAAUUUGACCAAGUAGUGUCAGAGGAGAAGAUUUUUGUAAAAGAUUACUAAGAUUUACGAAAAAUGGUUAAAAAUUGACUAUAAAGGGCAAUAACUCCUAAAGUGGUCAAUUGACCAUUUUUGUCAUGUUGACUUAUUUGUAGAUCUUACUUUGCUGAACAUUAUUGCUGUUUACAGUUUAUCUCUAUCUAUAAUAAUAUUCAAGAUAAUUACCAAAAACAGCAAAAUUUCCUUAAAAUUACCAAUUUCAGGGGCAGCAACCCAACAAUGGAAUGUCCGAUUCAUCUGAAAAUUUCAGGGCAGAUAGAUCUUGACCUGAUGAACAAUUUUACCCCAGUCAGAUUUGCUCUAAAUGCUUUGGUUUUUGAGUUAUAAGCCAAAAACUGCAUUUUACCCUUAUGUUCUAUUUUUAGCCAUGGCGGCCAUCUUGAUUGGUUGGGCGGGGCACCGGACACAUUUUUUAAACUACAUACCCCAAUGAUGAUUAUGGCCAAGUUUGGUUAAAUCUGGCCCAGUAGUUUCAGAGGAGAAGAUUUUUCUAAAAGAUUACUAAGAUUUACGAAAAAUGGUUAAAAAUUGACUAUAAAGGGCAAUAACUCCUAAAGUGGUCAACUGACCAUUAUGGUCAUGUUAACUUAUUUGUAGAUCUUACUUUGCUGAACAUUAUUGCUGUUUACAGUUUAUCUCUAUCUAUAAUAAUAUUCAAGAUAAUAACCAAAAACAGCAAAAUUUCCUUAAAAUUACCAUUUCAGGGGCAGCAACCCAACAACGAAAUGUCCAAUUCAUCUGAAAAUUUCAGGGCAGAUAGAUCUUGACCUGAUGAACAAUAUUACCCCGUCAGAUUUGCUCUAAAUGCUUUGGUUUUUGAGUUAUAAGCCAAAAACUGCAUUUUACCCCCAUGUUCUAUUUUUAGCCAUGGCGGCCAUCUUGGUUGGUUGGCCGGAUCACCGGACACAUUUUUAAACUAGAUACCCCAAUGAUGAUUGUGGCCAAGUUUGGUUAAAUUUGGCCCAGUAGUUUCAGAGAAGAAGAUUUUUGUAAAAGUUAACGCAGGACGACGACGACGGACGACGACGGACGACGACGGACGCCGGACGCCAAGUGAUGAGAAAAGCUCACUUGGCCUUUCGGCC